UGCUGGAGCGCUGCCGGGGGGGAACUGCGGGGUGAGGACCCCGAGAAACAGGCGGCCCUGGAGGAGCUGAAGGAGGAGCUGGACAAGCAGAUGGACGAGUUCCUGACAGCCUAUGGGCAGCACUUUAAAAUGGCGGAGAUGGCAGAGAUGAGAGAGUAGGCAAACAGAGGAGCAGUAGAAGCUGCCACGAGGGAAUAUGGACUAUUUGUGAAGCAGCUGGACCGUGGCCACCAGAACAUGAGCAGCUGUCUGAGAGUGAAGCCCCUGGAGAUGCAGCGAUGCCAGGAGGGGAAACGCCAGGAGCUGCUGAAACGCUGCCGGGGGGAGCUGUGGGGCGAGGACCCCCAGAAACAGGCGGCCCUGGAGGAGCUGAAGCAGGAGCUGGACAAGCAGAUGGACGAGUUCCUGUCGGCCUACGGGCAGCGCUUUAAAGUGAAGAAGGCCGAGUGGUUGGGCCUGUACAUUGGGCUAUCGCCAGCUGCCAGCGCGCGCCGGGCACGGGCUCGCCCCCA